rnacentral:rRNA from 1 species
GAUAAACGCUGGCGGCGUGCCUAAUACAUGCAAGUCGAACGAAUCUUCUUCGGAAGAUGAGUGGCGAACGGGUGAGUAAUACAUAGGUAACCUGCCCCUGUGCGGGGGAUAACAGGAGGAAACUCCUGCUAAUACCGCAUAGCCAUGAGCACCGCAUGGAGCUCAUGCCAAAUAUCCUUUCGGGGAUAGCGCAGGGAUGGACCUAUGGCGCAUUAGCUGGUUGGCGGGGCAACGGCCCACCAAGGCAACGAUGCGUAGCCGGCCUGAGAGGGCGGACGGCCACAUUGGGACUGAGACACGGACCAGACUCCUACGUGAGGCAGCAGUAGGGAAUUUUCGGCAAUGGGGGAAGCCCUGACCGAGCAACGCCGCGUGAGCGAAGAAGGCCCUCGGGUCGUAAAGCUCUGUUGUAAAGGGAGAACGGCGCAUACAGGAAAUGGUAUGCGAGUGACGGUACUUUACCAGAAAGCCACGGCUAACUACGUGCCAGCAGCCGCAGUAACAC